rnacentral:rRNA from 1 species
GAUGAACGCUGGCGGCGUGCCUAAUACAUGCAAGUCGAGCGAACGGACGAGAAGCUUGCUUUUCUGAUGUUAGCGGCGGACGGGUGAGUAACACGUGGAUAACCUACCUAUAAGACUGGGAUAACUUCGGGAAACCGUAGCUAAUACCGGAUAAUAUUUUGAACCGCAUGGUUCAAAAGUGAAAGACGGUCUUGCUGUCACUUAUAGAUGGAUCCGCGCUGCAUUAGCUAGUUGGUAAGGUAACGGCUUACCAAGGCAACGAUGCAUAGCCGACCUGAGAGGGUGAUCGGCCACACUGGAACUGAGACACGGUCCAGACUCCUACGGGAGGCAGCAGUAGGGAAUCUUCCGCAAUGGGCGAAAGCCUGACGGAGCAACGCCGCGUGAGUGAUGAAGGUCUUCGGAUCGUAAAACUCUGUUAUUAGGGAAGAACAUAUGUGUAAGUAACUGUGCACAUCUUGACGGUACCUAAUCAGAAAGCCACGGCUAGCUACGUG